GCAGCAGGGAAACCUCCGCCCCGCCCAUUUUGUUGCGUCACUGACUGCAAGGGGUGUUUCCAUGGCGACCGCGUCGCUCACCGACAAGCCGUCACUUCGCCCCACAGUGGAUUGAAAGGGAACUCAUUCGGUCAAGAACGACAGUUUGAGGUGAAUACAAAUUAUAUUAUAGUAGUGGUUAUACAAGAGUGUCUGACAAGGAAACAGCAACCUGCAUGCCACGGUGAACUUGCGCAGACUGGACCCCACAGCAAUGGAUGGAUUAGAUGAAGAAACCCCUGAUCAAGAUGAUGCCACUGAGGAGCAGCUUUACAAAGCACAAAGGAUGCACGUCGACGUCUUGCUCGAGAUGAGCGAGGAAGCCUUUUUAAAAGAACUGGAGCCACACGAGUAUCAUUGCUACUGCGGUUGGGAAGAGGCCGUGCGUGGCUGGGACAGAGUUGCUCCAUUUAGCUGCAUUAUUCUUCCGCAAAAGAAAGACAAGAAACCAAAGCUGCGUAAGGAGACAACAGACAACCCGCCCUCCUUGCACACGGAGACAUUUCAUGGCGACACAAUAGCCAUCAGUGGAGAGCAUUGUAGCGAAUCCCAAUCAAGCCCUCGUUACUUUAAAAAAUCCACAUCGUCAAGUCAUUCCCCAGAAUGCCAUGCACUGGAUGGCGCAGAAGAAGACUUGUCACAUCUUCUACAUGAAGAGAGGGGGCAUGUCAGCGGGAUUCCUUUGCCCCUCCAACACUUAUCCCCAAAUAUGUCCAAGGGCAGGCCAUCCAAACCCAUAAAACGCCAAACCAAAAGCAAAGUUGUUCCCAUCACAAACUUCACAUUUUUACCUCCAAUAAAAUGACGAACCAACCAGGUCAGCUCUAUAUGCCAUGAAUAGCUCAGGAACAUUUAUAAGAAAUGUGGACUUUGAAAUAAAACCAAAGAUGUCAGCAAGUUUUUUUUUUUUUUUUAAACAAGGACUCACAUGCCAAUGUUUCUGAGCUUUUUACACCUCUAAAAAAACAGUUACAAUAUGAUUUGGACUGUCACUUAGUAGCACCAAUGUUUCCUGCCCACGGAUAAUAAAUUAUAAAGACUGA